rnacentral:rRNA from 1 species
GAUGAACGCUGGCGGCGUGCCUAAUACAUGCAAGUCGAGCGAACAGAUAAGGAGCUUGCUCCUUUGACGUUAGCGGCGGACUGGUGAGUAACACGUGGGUAACCUACCUAUAAGACUGGGAUAACUUCGGGAAACCGGAGCUAAUACCGGAUAACAUUUGGAACCGCAUGGUUCUAAAGUGAAAGAUGGUUUUGCUAUCACUUAUAGAUGGACCCGCGCCGUAUUAGCUAGUUGGUAAGGUAACGGCUUACCAAGGCGACGAUACGUAGCCGACCUGAGAGGGUGAUCGGCCACACUGGAACUGAGACACGGUCCAGACUCCUACGGGAGGCAGCAGUAGGGAAUCUUCCGCAAUGGGCGAAAGCCUGACGGAGCAACGCCGCGUGAGUGAUGAAGGGUUUCGGCUCGUAAAACUCUGUUAUUAGGGAAGAACAAAUGUGUAAGUAACUGUGCACGUCUUGACGGUACCUAAUCAGAAAGCCACGGCUAACUACGUG